GGUGUCCCCUUCCCACAGUGCACGUGUUUGAGUCCUGACCCCGCACCUCUGAGUGUGACUGUAUCUGGCGUGGGGUCUGUAAAGUGGGGAGGGAGGUAAACUGAGGUCAUUGAGGGUGAACCCCAAUCCAAUAUGAUCGGUGUCCUUAGAAGAAGAGGAGAUUGGGACACCGAGACACACAGGGGGAAGUCCGUGUGAAGACGGAGAGAAGAUGGCCAUCUGAGCACUGAGGAUGGAGGCCUCCCAACACGCUACUCUUGGACUUACAUCCUUCAGAUUCGUGUGCCCAAGACGUCAGUUCUUAGCCAUCCACCCCGACCAUCGGCUCCCACAGGCCACCUGCUUUCUGUCUGUGCAGCUCCCUUGGCCUCUUCUCGACCAACAUCAAGGCUCGGGGAUCCUCCCGCUGCUCUCAUGCCUGCUGGGAACCAAGGCACUCUGGAAAGCAUCCUUUCCAUCUGCGCCUGGGCUUCGUGAACCUCACUUUGGAGCCUUGUUGCCUUCCCCACAGGAGGACAGGAGAGCACUUCCGGGGGAAUCCUCCAUAUUCUCUGUUUGCCAGAAGAUGCAGAAGAUCCGAUGACUCCAUGGACCUGAAGGGGUGCUGAGAGCCAAGAUCAAAAGGACUAGGACCCUGGAUGACUUGCCAACAUUCUGUAACUGUGACAUGAACAAGAAAGAAACUCUACUGUGUUAAGCUACUGAGAUUUUAGGCUUUAUCUGGAGUGCCUAAGCAGCUACCCAGUUCCUUUUCCUGGUCUCCUUGUGUCUUCUAUGCUGAUGGGAACCCUUGGGCUUGCUGUCUUCUUGCUGUCACCCUACUGGAACAUGGCGCUGCUCCUGCUGUCCUGGCCAGUUCUGGGCACAUCUUUUGUUUCAUGCAUCAGGUUCUGGCAACAGCUCUGUCCUCUUUCUGGGAAUGAAGUCACCUUACUCAGUGCCUGGUUUGGGAUUGGGUUCAACUACCUUAAACAAUAGCUUGGGUUCAUGCCUCACACUGCACACCAAUAUA